UAGUCCACGCCGUAAACGAUGGUUACUAGCUGUUCGGAUUUAUCUGAGUGGCUAAGCGAAAGUGAUAAGUAACCCACCUGGGGAGUACGUUCGCAAGAAUGAAACUCAAAGGAAUUGACGGGGGCCCGCACAAGCGGUGGAGCAUGUGGUUUAAUUCGAUGAUACGCGAGGAACCUUACCAGGGCUUAAAUGUAGAUUGACAGGUUUAGAGAUAGACUUUUCUUCGGACAAUUUACAAGGUGCUGCAUGGUUGUCGUCAGCUCGUGCCGUGAGGUGUCAGGUUAAGUCCUAUAACGAGCGCAACCCCUGUUGUUAGUUGCCAUCGAGUAAUGUCGGGAACUCUAACAAGACUGCCGGUGCAAACCGCGAGGAAGGUGGGGAUGACGUCAAGUCCUCAUGGCCUUUAUGACCAGGGCUACACACGUGCUACAAUGGUACAUACAGAGGGUUGCCAAGCCGCGAGGUGGAGCUAAUCCCAGAAAGUGUAUCCCAGUUCGGAUCGGAGUCUGCAACUCGA
rnacentral:rRNA from 1 species